AUGAACGCUGGCGGCGUGCCUAAUACAUGCAAGUCGAGCGAACAGAUGAGGAGCUUGCUCCUCUGACGUUAGCGGCGGACGGGUGAGUAACACGUGGAUAACCUACCUAUAAGACUGGGAUAACUUCGGGAAACCGGAGCUAAUACCGGAUAAUAUAUUGAACCGCAUGGUUCAAUAGUGAAAGACGGUUUUGCUGUCACUUAUAGAUGGAUCCGCGCCGCAUUAGCUAGUUGGUAAGGUAACGGCUUACCAAGGCAACGAUGCGUAGCCGACCUGAGGGGGUGAUCGGCCACACUGGAACUGAGACACGGUCCAGACUCCUACGGGAGGCAGCAGUAGGGAAUCUUCCGCAAUGGGCGAAAGCCUGACGGAGCAACGCCGCGUGAGUGAUGAAGGUCUUCGGAUCGUAAAACUCUGUUAUUAGGGAAGAACAAAUGUGUAAGUAACUAUGCACGUCUUGACGGUACCUAAUCAGAAAGCCACGGCUAACUACGUG
rnacentral:rRNA from 1 species